CCUACGGGAGGCUGCAGUGGGGAAUAUUGGGCAAUGGGCGCAAGCCUGACCCAGCAACGCCGCGUGAAGGAAGAAGGCUUUCGGGUUGUAAACUUCUUUUCUCAGGGACGAAGCUAGCGAUGGCUCCUGAGGAAUCAGCCACGGCCAACUACGUGCCAGCAGCCGCGGUAAUACGUAGGUGGCAAGUGUUAUCCGGAUUUACUGGGUGUAAAGGGCGUGUAGGCGGGAAAGCAAGUCAGAAGUGAAAACCAUGGGCUCAACCUGUGGCCUGCAUUUGAAACUGUGUUUCUUGAGUACUGGAGAGGCAGACGGAAUUCCUGGUGUAGCGGUGAAAUGCGUAGAUAUUAGGAGGAACACCAGUGGCGAAGGCGGUCUGCUGGACAGCAACUGACGCUGAGGAGCGAAAGCGUGGGUAGCAAACAGGAUUAGAUACCCCAGUAGUC
rnacentral:rRNA from 1 species